rnacentral:lncRNA from 1 species
ACAGUGAAUAAGUCUCAUGAGAUCUGAUGGUUUUAAAAAUGGGAGUUUCCCUGUAGAAACUCUCUAUUUGCCUGCUGCCAUCCAUGUAAGACGUUGACUUGCUCCUCCUUGCCUUCUGCCAUAAUUGUGAGGCAUCCCCAGCCAUGUAGAACGUUAAUAGGAUGCAAUUAGAAAUGUCACGUGCAAUUUGGGGAAAGUGUCCUUGAAUGGAAGAUGCACUCUCCUUCCUUCCUUUUCUCCUUCUUGCUGAUGAGGAGGCAGAUUUAAUGACUAGAAGUUGAGCAACCCUUUUGGACCAGAAGAAUAAAAGUCACACCCUAGGGAUGGCAAACUGAAAAGCUGGAAGAGGCCUGGGUUCAUGACAAUUCCGCAGACCUUGCCAAACUGGCCUUAGACUUCUCAUCUCCAGAUGUUUUACAUGAGGGCAACAUAUACGUUUAAGGAAUGAUUAAUUUGGGUUUUAUGUUAUAGACAAAUCAAAUCCUAACUGGUGUGAAAUUAGUGUAUAAUUCAUAUUUUCCUACGCUUAACAUAAUUUCUGUAAGUGAACUGUCAAGCUUUAAUUCUUAUGCAGUUUUAAGAUUGUUAAAUCUUGCAUAUCUCUAGUUCAAUGAAAACAUUAGCAUAUGUUUACCAGAACACACAUAAAAAAAUGUUCAUGGCACAAUCCAUUUGUAAUAGCAACAAUUUAUUAAACCACUGAUAAACAUGGUUAAAUAAAUUGUGGUACAGUCCUGCUAUUGAGUGUUACACAAUGGUGAAAAUGAAUAGAGUAUGAUCUCAACAUUAUUGAUCAACCUUAGCAAUAUAGUAUUGAGCUAAAAGAACAAGUCCUAGAAGACAACAUAUAAUACAUUCAAAACAAAUAAAACUAGUAUACUGUUUAGGCCCACGCAAAUGUGCAAUGAAAUUUAAAGAAGAGCAAUGUAUGAUAAAAACAAAAUUUAAAAGAAUAGUUACUACUGAGAAGAAUGUUGGGGUCUGGUAUGGGAUGGAACAGGUAGGUCGAUGUAUGUCAUGGAGAGUUUUUGGCUUUUGGGUUGAGAGGUGGGGUUAUGAGUGGUUUCUUGUAUUAUUAUAACACAUACAACGAAAAUAAAUGAAAUGAGGUUUAUUUAAAAACCAAUGGGCCAGUCAUAGCCCUUGAUUCAUGACACACUAUUAAUAUGAAUCAGAACUGUGAUUAAUCCAGUUUUGUGCUUCUGAAGUUCAUAAAACAAUCAUACCACUUAGGAAGCUGCCUAUUAUGCAGGCCUGGUUUUAUUUCUAUAAAUCAGGCAACAAGGAUGGAUGUGUUUCUAUUUGUGUACCCAACUGUUUCCCUAACCAGGUUUUUAAAAAUAAACUUUUAAUUUUAGAAUACUUUUAGAUUUACAGAAAAGUUGCAAAGAUAGGACAGAGUUCCUGUAACAACCCCCACCAACACCACUUCCCCUGCUGUUAACACCUUGCAUUACUGUAGUACAUUUGUUCCCACUAAUGAACCAAUGUUGAUACAUUAUCAUUACCCCUACCAGAUUUCAGGCUUCCUGAGAGCACAGUCCAUGCAUUUUAGCAUUCCCCAUUUUGCAUCUAGUCAGUAUUCUGCAUGUGUUGAAUUGAUGAGGAAAUAAACUUUUUAAAUGAC